rnacentral:rRNA from 1 species
CUGACGAGUGGCGGACGGGUGAGUAAUGUCUGGGAAACUGCCUGAUGGAGGGGGAUAACUACUGGAAACGGUAGCUAAUACCGCAUAACGUCGCAAGACCAAAGAGGGGGACCUUCGGGCCUCUUGCCAUCGGAUGUGCCCAGAUGGGAUUAGCUAGUAGGUGGGGUAACGGCUCACCUAGGCGACGAUCCCUAGCUGGUCUGAGAGGAUGACCAGCCACACUGGAACUGAGACACGGUCCAGACUCCUACGGGAGGCAGCAGUGGGGAAUAUUGCACAAUGGGCGCAAGCCUGAUGCAGCCAUGCCGCGUGUAUGAAGAAGGCCUUCGGGUUGUAAAGUACUUUCAGCGGGGAGGAAGGGAGUAAAGUUAAUACCUUUGCUCAUUGACGUUACCCGCAGAAGAAGCACCGGCUAACUCCGUGCCAGCAGCCGCGGUAAUACGGAGGGUGCAAGCGUAAUCGGAAUUACUGGG